AGUAGGUGGGGUUUUGCCCAUAUUUGGAAUUGUUGGUGAGCUUUCCUGUUCGAAGACGAUUGGCUGACAACCGAUAUAAAACAAAUCAGCUUCAUUUUCUCUGUGAUACUCAUCAAGGGUAAAUAAUGGAGAAGGAAAUGGUUUCCACAUUUUUUUCCCGGAUUCUUCAAAAAAUUGCAUAUUUAGGUAGACAGCGUAACAAUAGAUCACAUCCACCAUGGCAUAGUAUUAUAGAGACAUAUACAGAUGAAGUAGAAUCUACAAAUGGCCCAGUAGUUUAUAAAAAUGGAAAAAAAAUUAAAUAUAAAUCCAAUAUGAAGCUAAUGAUUCCACAGAAAACCCCUUGUUUAAUAAUCAUUAAAUCUUUUGCUUCAGAAACUGUAGACUUUUUUGCAAGUGGACUUGGUUGUUAUUAUGGUCACGGUUAUGUCUUGACUGCUUUACAUGUAGUUAAGGAUCCAGGUUUCGGGAAGUGUAAAAUAUUCAUUGUUUUCCCUACUAAAGAUUUUACAGUGGCCUACAUGGCUGACUUUAAUCAAUUUUCUAAAAUUGAUGCAGCUCUAGAUCUGGCUUAUGUUCAGUUACGGGGCAACACCAGUCCACUUGGUGAUGGUUUACAUAAUCAGAUUGCUAAUAUGAAUGUAAAUGACAAUAUUUACUUUCAUACCUGGAUCUCUGAUUGGGAUUUUCAGAAGAAGGAGGGUGAAGUAAUUUCAAACAGGGAGACACCUGAUAAGUCUGAAAUAUCUGUAGCAGGUCAACCUAGAGACAGUGGCUCACCUGUUUUCAACUCAAAACAUGAACUGGUUGCCAUAUAUCUAGGUGUCCUUGAGGAUACUAGAAAUGGUAUCUGUUCUAAAAUUCAACACUUUAUACCCGUAGUGUCCCUAUCUGAUUACUGCUCUCCAAAAAAAAUAUAUAUAUAUGAAAAAAAAUAAAUAAAUAAAAAAAAUUUUAAAAAAACAAUAAAAUGUAACAAAAAAAAAAAAAAAAAAAAAAAGAUUCUUGUUCCCCCCUUUCUAUAUUAGGUCACCCUGAGCAUUUUGUGCGUGUGUGUGUGUGCACACUGUCUGUGCGUAUACGCGCACGCGCAACACGUGAGCCAAAGCGACCCGUUGUACAGAAUCCAAGCCUCUUUUUCAGUUUCGUUUCUGCUUUCUGUCGGACUAAAAAAGCUCGGAAAAAGCUGACGUCCAAGCGCAACCUGAAUCCGCUGAGUUUCACCUGAUAACAGCGAACAUUUACUACACUGGUGCCAACACCCGGGAGAUCCGCGCACAAAGAAAGUGGAAACGGACACGCAGCCAAACCCCACCACCCCCACCUGGUGCAGAUCCUGCAGUCUCCACGGCAUAAGAACAUCAUCAUCAUCAUCAUCAUCAUCAUCAUCAUCAUCAGGCUAUCUUACAUAUGAUGCAACAACAGCAAGAAAUCCAUCCAGAACCUGCUGGCAUGAGCCGCCCUCUCAACUCUUCCUCAGUGUCUGCAGGUCAUGGAAUCCUGGUCUGGAUGAUGUGGAAGAUGAACCUGGAGAUGCUCGAGAGUGUCUGGACGAGACUGGCUUUCAAGGGGAUCGCACUGGCUCUCGUGUCAUACACACACACACACACACAAGAACACUCACGCUCGGCACACUAAUAAAUUAAUUUUAAGUAUAAAUUAUAAUUAAUAAAUAAUUAUAAAUAAUUAUAGGACCAUUUCAAGGUUUCUAUAUCAGUUUCUCUAUUAUAUGGCAAAGUUAGGAUAAUAGAGUUAAAUAAACUAAAACUCCACUGUAACCAAAAUGAUCCCCACCCAUUGAUAACUUGAAGAAAAGUAGGUCUGUUGAUUUAUCGUUCACCUUGUUUUACUAAAAAAAAGGUAUUUUAUUAGAAUUUUAAAUUUGCCUAAACAAAAACAUUUUUAAAAAAUUAAAUAUAAAUAAAUAAAAAAGUGCAAAUGUUGCAGGAUGCUAAAAGAUUUUUUUUUUUUUUUCAAAAAAAAAAAAAAACUCUCUUCCUAAAAAAUAAACUACCUUAAAAAACAAAUAGUUAAUUAAAAAAAAGAUAUAUUAUUAUUAUUAUUAUUAUUAUUAUUAUUAUGUUGAGGAAGGAAGAUCCACAUAGGGUAUGAUCAUGUGGAAACCAUUUCCUUCUCCAUUAUACCUGAUGGCUACCCAGGGUGAGGUGCUCAAAUUUAAAUAAAAAAAGAAGAAAAAUCCUCACCUUUACUUAACUGGAUAGAAGACACCUGGAUGCAGAAGAUUUCUCUCUACAAAAUGCUGCUGUAAUCGUCAUCACUGCAGUCGUCACUUCGGCACAUUUAGUCCAUUUAGUCCAUUACUCUUCUCCAUCUGUGGACUGUAAUGAUUCUAAUCGCAUCAUCUGGUGUCACCCAUAAGAGGAUGGGGUCCCUUUUGAGCCUGGUUCCUCUCAAGGUUUCUUCCUCAUGUCAUCUCAGGGAGUUGUUCCUUGCCACCGUCGCCUCAGGCUUGCUCAUAAGGGAUUUUAAUCUAUAUCCAGAAUCCUGUAACAGAAAAAGAAUUGUACGAAUAAAUUUGAGCUGAAUUGA